UACGUAGGGGGCAAGCGUUGUCCGGAUUUAUUGGGCGUAAAGAGCGUGUAGGCGGCCAGGGAGGUCCGUUGUGAAAACUCGAGGCUCAACCUCGAGGCGCCGAUGGAAACCCCCUGGCUAGAGUCCGGAAGAGGAGAGUGGAAUUCCUGGUGUAGCGGUGAAAUGCGCAGAUAUCAGGAAGAACACCCGUGGCUAAGGCGGCUCUCUAGUACGGUACUGACGCUGAGACGCGAAAGCGUGGGGAGCGAACAGG
rnacentral:rRNA from 1 species